rnacentral:misc_RNA from 1 species
AGCUAAAUUAUUAACUCAGUAAUUGAAGAGUUUUAAUAAAGGAUAAUCUUCCAAGCUUUUGUUCUUACCAUAUUUCUUCAUUUUUAGCUGCAAAUUUGAAAGGCUAAUUUACUAUAAUUGGAUAAUUUUUUUUUUCCCUGAAAAAUAAGCAUAUGAUGUCCCUCCUGGAUCUUAAUGUUUUCUGUUUGUCUCACCAUUUUGAAAUGUUCAAAGUUCUUUCCCAAAUAUCACCAUAGAAAAUGAUAUACAUUUAUAAUUUGUUAAAAUAAAUGAUAUUUUUCCCACAUUGAAACUUAUAAGGUGGACGUCUUAGGCCUCCAACUUGUAAGUCCAUGUUAAAACAAAAUUCUUCUUGGCCUCUUAUCACUCAUUGCCUGCUUAUUUUGCUUAUGCUGUUACUCUGCUUUCCACGUGUUACCAUCUUCUGCACUUGAUGCAUAUUUCAUUUCCAUUGAUAGGUGUGACUUUCCUUUCGUAUGCUAUGGUUCUUCCACAAUUUUAUGAUACAUUCCCUUCAUGUUGUAUUGUAUUAACUCAAAAUUCACAUACUUUAAACUGCAGGUUCAUUAAUUAAGAAUGAAUUCUGCCAACUUCCGUUUAUGUAACCUUUACAUCAACAGCAGCAUGGCAGGUAAUUCCUUCUAACUUUAGAUGUAGGCAUGGCUGCAAUAUGUGAAAACAAUUACUUGCAAAGCCAGUGUUCAAUUGAGGAUUAACAGACCUUAUGAUUAUAUAGUCGUUGAUAAUUUGAUGUCCACACCAUCAGCUAUUCCAAUAAGCCCCAAAAUAUUCAUUUAACCCUUCAUUUGCUGUUCGUUGGGUAAUUUACUUUUUCUGGCAAUAGCAAGCUCUUUUUCCUAUCCAAUGUUUUCUAAAACUAGUACUUCCUGAAAUUGAAGUUUCUAUAUUCCUUUUAGUCCAUGUUUGACUGGCUCAAGUUUUUAGCAAAGUGAAUGCAUAUAGUCCAUCAAAUGAAGAUAUGAUAUUUAUACUCACUUUGAUUUACUUAGAACUAGGCACAGGAAUGUAUUUUCCUUAAGCAUUUUAAGUUUGCAUUGUCCACCUUUAGUAAGACUUUACAAUAUUAUAUGAUUUCUUGAGACAGAUGACAGGAAUGAUGCGGAUACAAAUGCAGAUUUUUAGUAAGAACGAGUUUACAGCACCAAGAAAGAGAAACGGCCAUCUUCAUUAACUUGUUUUCUAUGGA